CCUACGGGUGGCAGCAGUGGGGAAUAUUGCACAAUGGGGGAAACCCUGAUGCAGCGACGCCGCGUGAGCGAUGAAGUAUUUCGGUAUGUAAAGCUCUAUCAGCAGGGAAGAAAAUGACGGUACCUGACUAAGAAGCCCCGGCUAACUACGUGCCAGCAGCCGCGGUAAUACGUAGGGGGCAAGCGUUAUCCGGAUUUACUGGGUGUAAAGGGAGCGUAGGUGGUCCUGCAAGCCAGAUGUGAAAGCCCGGGGCUCAACCCCGGGACUGCAUUUGAAACUGUCAGGCUGGAGUGUCGGAGAGGCAAGCGGAAUUCCUAGUGUAGCGGUGAAAUGCGUAGAUAUUAGGAGGAACACCAGUGGCGAAGGCGGCCUGCUGGACGAUGACUGACGUUGAGGCUCGAAAGCGUGGGGAGCAAACAGGAUUAGAUACCCCAGUAGUC
rnacentral:rRNA from 1 species